CAUUAGCCCCGAUGGGAACGGCAUCCUUUUUUGUUAUUGCGACUGACUGAAAGUUCAAGGGAUUGCUUCACUUUGUUCGCAAUGACAAAAAAGAUACAGUGGACAGCGGGAAAAAGC
rnacentral:sRNA from 1 species